rnacentral:rRNA from 1 species
UACGGAGGGUGCGAGCGUUAAUCGGAAUUACUGGGCGUAAAGGGUGCGUAGGUGGUUAAUUAAGUUAUCUGUGAAAUCCCUGGGCUCAACCUGGGCAGGUCAGAUAAAACUGUUUAACUCGAGUAUGGGAGAGGGUAGUGGAAUUUCCGGUGUAGCGGUGAAAUGCGUAGAGAUCGGAAGGAACACCAGUGGCGAAGGCAGCUCCCUGGGUCGACACUGACGCUGAUGCACGAAAGCGUGGGUAGCAAACAGG